rnacentral:rRNA from 1 species
CAGCCGCCACGGUAAUACGAGGGGGGCAAGCGUUGUUCGGAAUUAUUGGGCGUAAAGGGUGCGUAGGCGGUUCAGCAAGUCUCGUGUGAAAUCUUCGGGCUCAACCCGAAGUCUGCACGGGAAACUACUGGGCUUGAGUAAUGGAGAGGUGAGUGGAAUUUCCGGUGUAGCGGUGAAAUGCGUAGAUAUCGGAAGGAACACCUGUGGCGAAAGCGGCUCACUGGACAUUUACUGACGCUGAUGCACGAAAGCUAGGGGAGCAAACAGGAUUAGAUACCCCUGUAGUCCCUGUCUCUUAUAC